AUACUAGAAAUAGCUGCCAUGUGGAAAUUUCCUAUCCCAAAUCCUGCCUCUUGUCUUUUUCCCACCCCUGCCAAAGGUCACCAAAAUUUUCCAGAAGAAGAAGAUCUUGGUGACAUACAGCUUCCGUCAGUCCUUUCCCCUGGUGGAAAUGCACAUGCAGCUCUUCCAGAAUUCAUAUUACCAGUUUGGGAUCAAGUUACUGUCUGCAGUACCUGGUGGAGAGCGAAAAGUCCUCAUCAUCUUCAAUGCCCCUAGCCUCCAGGACCGGCUACGCUUCACAUCCGACCUACGUGAAUCCAUUGCUGAGGUGCAGGAGAUGGAGAAAUACCGUGUGGAGUGUGAGUAGCCCAGACACAUCUCCUUCCUGCUCUCCUGAUACAAUGGCCUGCAGACACCAAGAAUCCUGUCUCCUGAAAAUAUCAAGAGUUGAGGGUUAGGGCUGGUGGAGCAGCUCAAGUGGUAGAGUACCUGCCUAGUAAGCAUGAAGCCUUGAGUUCCAACCCCAGUACUGUCCCCCACAAAAGAGUUGAAGGUUAGGUUGCCCAAUUUGUCCUACCCUCAUCCCUCUUCAUCCUCUGCUUGAAUACCUUCAGUGACAGGCUCAUUAUCUUCCAACCUCAGAUUAUUAUUUCAAGCCCUAAGAGUCUAUGCUGUGGCCCCCAUGCCCAUCUUCCAAUUGUGAGCCAACUCUCCCUCCAUUGAAAGGCAUCAGGCUUUAGGAAUCAAGGUAUAGGAAGUAGGGCUGUAGUUUCAGAUUUCAGGUAUGCUCCUUAUUAUUGGGUAAACCGGGGUGAGUUGCCUAGCCCUGCAAACCUCAGUUUCUUCCUAUAUGAAAUUGGGAUAAUGAAAUAUCUUCCAGAAUUAUGAAGAUGAAAUGAGACAAGAUAACCAAAGUGUACAUCCUCGGUGUUGAGUAAAUAUCUUUCCUUGUCCCAUCCUCUCUUUUCCUCUUCCUACAUAUCAGUUCCUGAGCUAAAUCCCAACAAUGUAUCCCCCAACCCUCAGG
rnacentral:lncRNA from 1 species